UACAGUACAUGUGUGACAUUUAAAAGUAUUUAUAGUGUUUACACUGUCAUGCGUUUUCGGCCUCAAAUACAACGUGUACCUUAAAGCACACAAUUAAAUGUUUGUUGUAGUCGAGUUGAACUGUCAUUGAUAUUUAUUUAUUCACUUUUAAGAACCUCAAGGGCAGCUAAUAUGAAGAUAUAAAGAUGAGUUGUUCUUCCACAGUCUUAAAAUUCUUCAAACUAAUUGUCAGUUCGAUUCAUUAUAGCAAACAAUACUUUCUUUACUAUUAGGAGAUCAGGAGUUUUAUUUUAAUGAAACCUUGAUAAUAGAGUGAACUACACAUGGUGUUAUCGCAAAUGAAAUCUUUUUAUGUAGAUUUUAAGUGAGUUUUAUUUGCACAAAUAAGGUUCACUGAUAUUUUGCUUUGUUGACUUUCAGGUUCUUUCAUUUUGGUUUUAAGUACAUGUUACAGGUGUGUUGGUGUAAAAAUUGAUGCUGACUGAACUCAGGCAGUUGUGCUGGACCAUCUGUACCUAAUACAGGGGAUGACAGUAAACUUCCAAGUUUAAGAGCCACCUGAUGAUGAGAGAGACAAUUUCAAUGUGGGCAUCUUGAUGGUGAGCCAGGCCUUCAUGCUGAUUUUGUGACCGUUUAAUCUAUUUAGCGUCAUUGUAAUAACUUUAUUUCAGGAUGCAAAACUGGCUAAAAAUCUACUUUAAAUUUCAACAUUAAUUGUAUGAUAGUGUGGUUGAUUUAACAUUUUAUUUAAUGUUGGGUUCAUUGUAAAAAAAUAAGAUUUAAUUUUGGUUGAAUAAAUGCUGAUUUUGGGACAGUUUUGUCUAUUUAUUAUCAUAGAAUUACCAUUAUUUCAGGGUGGAAAACUGCCUAAAAAUCAGUGGUGACUUUUUAACGUUGUUUCAAUGAUAGUUUGAUUGAUGU